ensembl:lncRNA
GUGGACUGGAUAUAGUUUAUUCAGACAAUAACAUGAAAGACUGUUGUCAACAAACCUCCAACAAUUCUUCUUGAUUUUUAAGUCGGUUGCUUUUGCCUAGUCAAUCAAACAAUUUCAUUUUUACAUAUCUUGACUGUGAGGGAUGGACUCAAAUAUCCUAUUUCGAACAAAGAUUGUGUUAACAUCACUUCAUUCCCAGCCCAUUACUGCUUAAAUAUUUCUUACCUGCAAGGCCAGAUUAAGAAAUUAUAGAACCAGGGACUUUGUAAGUAACAGCAUUCAGCCAAUAACUGAAACUUGCUGGACUGAAUCUUCGAUCUGACUGUCAUUCAACCUUUGAGCAAAGCCCUUCUCUAUGAGUGGGCCUCCAAGAGAGUGGGAUUUUGCACAAAACACACAUUCACACAUUAGUGUAAUGCACAGUGUUAAAUAGGAAAAAUCCAAGUAACCUAAUUCUAAUCAAUAUUUGAUCCACCAUAGAAAUAUAACCCCCAGAUGGUUCCUAAAUGGCUCUUCCUAUUCAAUUCAGGACAGGCAGCUAUUAUUAGCGUACCCAUGAGGCAAUUUGGUUCCACAACCCUUACUUUGGAUUAUAAUGAAUGUCUAUUUUGGGUCAUAAUGCAACAAGCUUCCUUUUACAUAUUUGGCUUUUUUGCGGCAACAAUUGCAAACAUUGCUUGCUUCUAUGGCCCAAUAUGGAUUUGGAUGCAAUGACUUAAGCAAACACCUGCAUUAAUCUGGUCCUGGUUACUGGUAUGAUACAGUAUAGUUGGUCAAGGUAAACACUAAUCUUGCGACGUCUAUUCUGCAUGUAGUGAUCACUGACCUGUGUACUAAACAAGAUCUAUUUGAUAUAGUCUAACAUCUGUGUGUGUCGCAUAGCGUAUGGCCAGAGUUAGCAGUUAUGGUAGGAAGGCUAUAUAAUCUGUUUGGCCUACUUAUGAGUUUCCACCCACAGGAUUGCCAUCAGUUACCAGAGCACAUCCCACACCCCUGGAAGCCUCCCUGGGAGCUCUCAUCAUGACAUACCAAGAUACUCAGAAAAAGAAAGCCAAUUAACCUCAUCAAGGCAGAGCUGCCCAACAUUGCUGGGAAGAGUGAUCCUAAACUGGGACACAUGAUGAUGACUCCGGACUAGGAUGUUGACGCCUCUGUGGACUUCAAGGAGCACAUCAGCCCUGAUCGGAUCCAUUGCCUGUGCAACUGCAUGUGCCAUAGACGGGAAUUUGCCUGCUUCCAUGUGCUUUGUGGGGCUAGGGUGCAUUACACUGCAGUAGUGGCACCCCGCCCAUACGGGCUGUCAAUCAUUGGAAAUAUUCAUUCAAUGCACUCCUCCCCGUAUUAAAUAUGGGUUUGUCUGUUAAGAUUUUUAGCCUCUGGAUAGUUGAACAAAACCUCCCAAAUGUAAGUCUUUGAGAUGUGGGAUAUGCCCUGUUCAUGGCUACAUGGGUCGACGACUACGUAUCACACAGUGACCUAGAUUUCAUUUCAGUUAUUGUAAUGCAUCAUUGCAAUGCAGUUCCAACCUCAUGAAAAUCAAGGAGUCUAAUUCAAAAUUACGGAGCAUGGAAAAAAACUCUCCUACUGUUUUUCCAGUAGGAUCAUGGUGCAUGAUUUCUCUUUCAAAUGAAAUGUUCUGAUAGGGCUACCAUGAAGCCAUGGAAUGUUUAAAUUAGGGUAGGGCUGGUCCUGCAUGUCCCAUGUGCAAAAUGCACAUCCAAAACUGUAGGUUGAAAUAUAUUUUUCACCUCUCAAGUGUCGGCUGACUAAUUUAGGGCUAAGAUCUUACAAAUGUUCGCCAAUGUUUAAGGCCCAGUUCUUGUUUAUGGCCUACUGCUCGUUUGACUCAUUAUGUACCCUUCUUUAUUUGACAUAAAUGUUUGAAAAUCAACCCACUCUCUUCCCUUUGCGUACAUAUAACACGGGUUCACACUUAACAAUUUCGUGCUAUGCAUACGCCAAAGUCCUUUUUUGCGUGCAGUGCAGACGCGAUCUCCUCCCAUUAAGAACUUUGGUGAAUAAAUGCGAUAUUAAAGUUUUACCUUUACCCUUUGACGUUCUUUCAAGAAAAAAAGUAGAUCUACGGCUUUUAAACGAUUAGUCAAUCUUCGGGAAAUCCGUGCCUCGAUGAUGGUGACGUCAAAUAGGUUUCAGUUGGUGCGUGUCAAACGAUUUUAUUGACCAUUAUUAUUAAUGGUAGGAGAUCGCGUCUCAACUGCACGCAUAAAAAGGACUUUGGCGUACGCAUAGCACGACAUUGUGUGAACCCGUGUUAUAUGUACGCAAAAGGAAGAGAGUGGGUUGUUGAAAAUAUUUGAGAGUUAGGAGUUGGUGAAAACAGGAGAACUGAGCAAAUCAUGAUAUCUUUCAUUGAAGAUUUUAUGUACAGGGCUUUAAGUGCAUCAGCGCAGUUGAAACUCUACCUUACGUAAAGUGGAUUGCUGUGUGUUGCAUGAAGUUACUUUUGUAAUUAAUAAUUGGUCUGGUUGAUGAGCAUUGUGGGUAAUGUAGUCAUUUAAGAAUCUUGGUUGCGCUUGUAGGUCCUUCUAUCAUUGACGUUGGUUCCAAGUAUCCCAGGACAACUUAUCUUCAAAACAAAGAACAAUUAAAAAACACAAUGGCAACUUUCAUCAUUUACUUUGGGACAAUAACUUUACCAGACCUUCAAAACAGAAUAAAUUAAACACAAAUAGCCCAGGGGCAAGUAAAGAUGACAUUCUCCUUUUCAGCCUAAAAUACAGAAAAUCUACUUGUUUGCAAAAUCAAUCAAUUGGAAUUAAAAUAUAGAUGACUCAUUAAUAAAUUUGGGAUUUUAGUUGUUUGUGUUUUAUUUGUAAAUGUGUCAAUAAGAUUUUGUGAAUAUGUUUUGUGUACUGAGGAGUUUAUACAGAAUUGUUUUGUGAAACAAUCAAAUAUGCAGAAAAAAAAAAUAAAAAGAAAGAAAUGGGUUCUAUAAUGGUUUCUCAGCUGGCUCUAGUUAGAACAGUUUUUGGUUUCUAACAGAAACCUAAUUUAUUCCAUGUACCACUCAGGAUUUACUCGGAACUCAAGAAAGUUCUACCUGAAACCUGAAGGUGUUCUUCCAGAAACCAAAGACGAUUUUCACCACAAGGACAGUUAAGGAAUGCUUAUGGGGCAGAAAAUAACCUGGUUUUCAGGGGUGUUGGCCAGUAACUGAAAUAUUGCUUGUUCUAAUCCCUCUAACGAGGAGAAUAUAUAUAGAAUAUUUUGUGUUGCCCUUAAGCAAGGCGCUUAACGUUAUUGCACCUGCACGUCAUUCUGAAUAAGAGUGCUAAAUGGAAAUGGAAGCAUUUUUUGUGCAAUUUGAUGGUCACUAAAUUUUAACAAUAUAAAUCGACAUUGUUUACGCUAGACUACUUGUGCAAACAAGUUGGGUACCACUGAAAGGGUUCUGUGUCCACACGCUUGCACGAACACAAAUGAUUGCAUAUGAAUCAUGUCGCAAAAGUCAGUAAUAUCAAUAAUUGCAUAAGUCUUAGACUGCAAUUUUUAACGCACCCACACGAAUUCUCAGAAAUUAGGAACACAAGAAUGCUGCCAGAUGUUUAGCAAGUGAGGUAAACAGGCUAUAUAUAUAUAUAUAUUUUUUUAAACUGUUAUGCUAAAUACACAGGAUAAACCAUGUAUCUACGAGAUCUACGUAGAUCUUAAAAUAAUUCCCUCAGUGACAGGGACCUAAGGGAACGCUUAAUGUAUUGUGAUUAUUUCUAUUUCAUUUAAUUAGAGUAGGUUACAUGUUACAGUGAAAACAUUAAGACUAAUGACCUGUAACAAGAAGGAUCUGUUAAAAUGAAGGGCUAUCAAUAUUUCUUAUUUUAAUUGUGAGACCAAGAGAAAAAUUUAGAUCACUUGAAUAAUAACAUUGCUACGCAUGCUCCCUCUUAUCAUUUGUCCUAGAAUGGGUAUAGCAUAGAAUUUUCGAGGCUUAAAAUAAGAGGGUGGGAUAGGGCGGGGAGUAGCCUACCGAGCGCAUACUCUGGCAGUAUUUGGGACUGUGUGUAUUUCCAUGAUCGUUUUCAUUUCGUUACAAAUUCAACUGUUCAUUUAGCUUAAUUAUUCUAUUGUUAACGGUUAUGAAUUGUAUGACAAUAUAGGCUAGCCGUGCGUGCGUGCGUCCAUUUCCAACAGGCGUGUUGUUAUUGCGUAUAACAAGACAUAUUUACGAGUAGGCCUACCUAAUUACGCGGAUCAUCCAGAUAUGAAUAUCUAUUUUGCCUUAUUUGCUUUUAUGGCACCUGUUGUUAUUGUUAUGAUAACGGUAGGGGUUUCAUGUGUAAUUCAUCGAAGGAGGCUCAGUCGGAUUGAACGCUCACUUCAAUGAUGGACGCUCUGGACCGCCUUCACCCUCAAACACCAUGGCACAGCUCGCCCCCCUGGAAGCCUCCCUGGAAGCUUUCUUCAGGAAAUUAUACAAGUGCGCUGGCAGUGGAAAUGCCAAGACCCUCAGUGAGAAAAUGCUAACCGACAUCAUAAAGGCAACAUAGCUGCUCAAUGAGGGUUAGUCUAGACCAUAAGGGGGUUCCUGAAGUGUGGGACCCUUAUGCCGGUGUUGGACCAGAACACUGAUGGCCCUGUGGACUUAAAGGAGUACAUCAACCCUGAUCGAAUCCCAUGCCUGCAUGUGCAAAUGGCUCCUGGAAGGAAUAUAUGAUUGCAUGUCAUUGAAGACCUGCCUGCUCCCAUUUGCUUUCUACAGCAUAUUAACAUAUUAUAAUGACUCAUUUGAUGGGGUUACUGCCUGUGUCUUCGCAUGCACACCCUAGCGCCGGCCUGCACACACACUGACACACACCAACAUACAGACACAAGGGUUUGCAUUACUCUUGACAAUCCGAUUCACAUGGAUUCUCUUGACAGAAAGAAACUGAGCGUGUUGCGAUGCCAGGAUAUUGGGAUUGGUUCCUGCAACAAUCAUACAUGAAAUGUUUGCAUGCAUGCCUGUAGAUCAUUUUUCAUGAAAGCGUCUGCUAAAUGGCAUAAAGUUAAUGGUAUAUAUAUAUAUAUUAUAGCAUUGUAUUGAUAAAUUAGAUCAAGAAUGCUGCUAAACAAAGCAUGUAAAAAAGAUGUGUAGGCUGUGGAUAAAUCUAUAUUUACUGUGUUAUGCAUGCCUACCAUAAUUCAAUCUGCCUGGAAUUUUUUGUAUGUUUUAAUUUACUGCUAAUAAAUGAGCAGAAGACUCAAACAAAUAUUGACUCUUGUAAAGAAAUUAGCUUUCCUCCCAUUAUUCAUAAACAUUUGUAAUCCCCGC